CGUAGGCGGCUUUGUAAGUUAGAGGUGAAAGCCUGGAGCUCAACUCCAGAAUUGCCUUUAAGACUGCAUCGCUUGAAUCCAGGAGAGGUGAGUGGAAUUCCGAGUGUAGAGGUGAAAUUCGUAGAUAUUCGGAAGAACACCAGUGGCGAAGGCGGCUCACUGGACUGGUAUUGACGCUGAGGUGCGAAAGCGUGGGGAGCAACCAGGAUUAGAUACCCUGGAUAGUCCACGCCGUAAACGAUGAUAACUAGCUGUCAGGGUUCACAGAACUUUGGUGGCGCAGCUAACGCAUUAAGUUAUCCGCCUGGGGAGUACGGUCGCAAGAUUAAAACUCGAAGGAGUUGACGGGGGCCUGCACAAGCGGUGGAGCAUGUGGUUUAGUUCGAAGCAACGCGCAGAACCUUACCAGCGUUUGACAUGCCUAGUAUGGUUUCCCAGAGAUGGAUUCCUUCAGUUCGGCUGGCUAGUGCACAGGUGCUGCAUGGCUGUCGUCAGCUCGUGUCGUGAGAUGUUGGGUUAAGUCCCGCAACGAGCGCAACCCUCGUCUUUAGUUACCAUCAUUUAGUUGGGUACUCUAAAGAAACCGCCGGUGAUAAGCCGGAGGAAGGUGGGGAUGACGUCAAGUCCUCAUGGCCCUUACGCGCUGGGCUACACACGUGCUACAAUGGCGACUACAGUGGGCUGCAAUCCCGCGAGGGUGAGCUAAUCUCCAAAAGUCGUCUCAGUUCGGAUUGUUCUCUGCAACUCGAGAGCAUGAAGGCGGAAUCGCUA
rnacentral:rRNA from 1 species